UACAGAGGGUGCGAGCGUUGUCCGGAAUCACUGGGCGUAAAGGGCGCGUAGGCGGCUAGGUAAGUAGGGGGUGAAAUCUCAUGGCUCAACUGUGAGGCUGCCUUCUAGACUGCUGAGCUGGAGCACAGUAGAGGCGAGUGGAAUUCCCGGUGUAGCGGUGGAAUGCGUAGAGAUCGGGAAGAACAUCGGUGGCGAAGGCGGCUCGCUGGGCUGUUGCUGACGCUGAGGCGCGAAAGCGUGGGGAGCAAACAGG
rnacentral:rRNA from 1 species